rnacentral:sRNA from 1 species
GGAGACAGUCAUAGAGAAAUGUGUUGUUGGCAUCGAUUUCCUAUGGUUGGGCAAUGGCUUCCGCCAUCUGGACCAGGUGACGUCAGCUAUCUGGAUUUCUGCCAGCAUUCCCCGGCCCAGGAAACAGACUUCCGGCUGUCUGGGCUCUGAGCCAUCUUCGGCCUCCUGGAGUUGGAUGCUGAAACUUGCAGUCACACAAGGACUUGAACCUAGAGCUUUUCUAAAGCCCGUACUCUUUCCAGUACCCUGAGCCAGGGGAGCCAGCGGGCAGAAAUGACGUGUGAGGUACCCUCUUUCCCUUCACUUCCAUGUGAUCUGUUACUCAUUUUGUCAAGACAUCCUGGGUCCCAGGUGCCAGGUGCUACACAAGAUACUGGCUAUAGCAGCGAACAGGACAGCCCGUCUCAUCCUCAUGGAGGUCACAGGACAAUGAGAAGAAAGACUUUUUUAUUUUUAUUUUUUUGAGACGGAGUUUUGCUCUUGUUGCCGAGGCUGGAGUGCAGUGGUGUGAUCUCGACUCACUGCAACCUCCGCCUCCCAAGUUCAAGCAAUUAUCCUGCCUCAGGCCUCUUGAGUAGCUGGGAUUACAGGCACCUGCCACCACUCCUGGCUAAUUUUUUGUAUUUUUAGUAGAGACAGGGGUUUCAUCAUGUUGGCCAGGCUGGUCUCGAACUCCUGACCUCAGGUGAUCCACCCACCUCGGCCUCCCAAAGUGCAGGGAUUACAGGCAUGAGCCAUCGAACCCGGCCCAAGAAGAAAGACAUUGAACAAGUAAUUACAGGGUAUUGGGUGUUAUGAAAGAAAAGCAUGGUACUGUAUAAUGAGGUCAUCUAAUUUAGUCUGGGGUGACAAGGAAUGCCUACUAAAGAAGGUAUCGUUUAAGACAUACCUGGGGAAUAGCGGUAGUGAAAAUAGAAGCUCCAGAAAUGCAGGGACCAUGGCUGACAUGUUUACCAUGCCAGUGUCUGGCAUGGAAGAGGCCCAAUUCCUUUGGUUGAAAGGAUGAAGUAAUCUAGCUGAAUAAAGGGUGUGUGCGUGCACGCAGGUGUGUUUGUAGUUAACCUUCCUUUAGCUCAGCUUAGGAAACAGCUUUUGUAAAACUGCGUAACUAGUAGUAGGUGAGAGAGGAAUACGAAUGAUAUACACACCAUUAAAGACAACUUACUAACAGCAUGA